UCCCUGGUAGUCUAGUGGCCAGGAUUUGGUGCUCUUGCCACCACGGCCUUUGGUUCAGUUCCUGGUCAGGAAA
rnacentral:tRNA from 1 species